CUCACUUUUGUCUUACAUGGUCUCCUGAGCUCCUCCUGGUCCCUAAGGCCAAAGAAAGUAAGUAUAAGCUUCUAUAUUUGUUUUAUAUGAUUUAUUGAAUAAUCGUUUGAUGACCUUCUUGCUAACCAGUCUUUGUCUGAUCUCACUUUUGUCUUACAUGGUCUCCUGAGCUCCUCUCGGUCCCUGAGGCUGGAGAAAGUAAGUAUAAGUAAAGUAAGCGUCUGAAUCUGUUUAAUAUGAUUUAUCGAAUAAUAGUUUUAUGACUUUAUGAAGGAAGUACCAGCUUCUGAUCUUCAUAUGCUCCACCUGGUCACCAAGAAAUGAGAGAGACGGGUCUUCAACUACUGUCUGUCCCAAGCUUGUCUGGUUGUGGAGAUGCCUUCAGUGGAGGAUAUACAAGCAUGCCAUUGAGAUCAAUCCAGAUAUUCCAGAGAAAUGUGUGAAGACAACUGUGUUCUCCACAACUACAUACAGAGCUCAACAGAGGCAUCUGCAGAGUUGGGGAGCAGUGAGGUGCAGCCACUGCCAGGUCUGGGUAGAGUUGGAUCCAUAGACUGUAUAUACUAUGGACAACUUGGUUCCGCCUACCGCCUGUAUACGGAUUUGAAGCCAAAAAGCUCUCGGUAUUUCCGGGAUUUUUCUUCAUUUCCUGAAACCAGCGCUGCGCAGUAGCAAUGCGCGCAUUUGGCCGCGCAAUCGCAGAGAGUCGCUGUGAUGACGCUCGGCUCAAACAGCGUGUCCCCCGGGAGGGCUACGCAAUCCCUGAACGCCCAUAGGCUGUAUCAGGUGUCAAUCAUAGCCAACAUGAACCCCCUAAUAACUUUUAAAAACUGAGCUUCACAGAAAAGAGGACUUGAGCACAAACCAGUCUUACAAUAACUACAUGUCAACAUCACAAGCAGGGGGGAGAAAAAAUUAUGUUCUGUGUAAUAAAUUUCUAGUGUUUGUCCACAGCUCCAUAAGCUUUGCUGGCGGAGGCAGGAUUUAUGACCUAUACUGCAGCCCAUCAACAGAGGGUGCUGUUCUCGGAGUGGCUUCACCCAGCGAGGAGGCAGACUCUGUCCAUUCUAUAUACAGUCUAUGGUUGGAUCCAACAACUCAUCCAGAGAAGCCAUCCGGGUCAGGGAAGGCUUCACAGCAUAUUUCUCAGCAGAGGGAACAGUACCCUGCAAGGAUACACACCACAACGGCUCUUUUAAGAGCCACCCACUUAUUAAAACUGAG